rnacentral:sRNA from 1 species
ACUGACAUAGCCAUCAUAGGCACUUAUCUCAGAAUUUUUUAAGGUUUAUAGAAAAAAAAUUCUGAGAUGAGUGCCUGUGAUUGCUAUGUCAGU